UGGGGAAUAUUGCACAAUGGGGGAAACCCUGAUGCAGCGACGCCGCGUGAAGAAAGAAGUAUUUCGGUAUGUAAACUUCUAUCAGCAGGGAAGAAAAUGACGGUACCUGACUAAGAAGCCCCGGCUAACUACGUGCC
rnacentral:rRNA from 1 species